UACGUAGGAGGCGAGCGUUAUCCGGAGUUACUGGGCGUAAAGAGCGUGUAGGCGGGUAUGCAAGUUUGGCGUGAAAGCUCCCGGCUAAACUGGGAGACUGCGUUGAAGACUGCGUAUCUAGAGGCAAGUAGAGGGACGUGGAAUUCCGGGUGUAGUGGUGAAAUGCGUAGAGAUCCGGAGGAACACCAGUGGCGAAGGCGACGUCCUGGGCUUGACCUGACGCUGAGAC
rnacentral:rRNA from 1 species